rnacentral:rRNA from 1 species
AAAGGGGGCCUCGGGGCCAACCUCCCACCCGUGUUGCCCGAACCUAUGUUGCCUCGGCGGGCCCCGCGCCCGCCGACGGCCCCCCUGAACGCUGUCUGAAGUUGCAGUCUGAGACCUAUAACGAAAUUAGUUAAAACUUUCAACAACGGAUCUCUUGGUUCCGGCAUCGAUGAAGAACGCAGCGAAAUGCGAUAACUAAUGUGAAUUGCAGAAUUCAGUGAAUCAUCGAGUCUUUGAACGCACAUUGCGCCCUCUGGUAUUCCGGAGGGCAUGCCUGUCCGAGCGUCAUUGCUGCCCUCAAGCCCGGCUUGUGUGUUGGGCCCCGUCCCCCCCGCCGGGGGGACGGGCCCGAAAGGCAGCGGCGGCACCGCGUCCGGUCCUCGAGCGUAUGGGGCUUCGUCACCCGCUCUAGUAGGCCCGGCCGGCGCCAGCCGACCCCCAACCUUUAAUUAUCUCAGGUUGACCUCGGAUCAGGUAGGGAUACCCGCUGAACUUAAGCAUAUCAAUAAGGCGGAGGAAG